UACGAAGGGGGCUAGCGUUGCUCGGAAUCACUGGGCGUAAAGCGCACGUAGGCGGACUCUUAAGUCGGUGGUGAAAUCCUGGAGCUCAACUCCAGAACUGCCUUCGAUACUGAGAGUCUCGAGUCCGGGAGAGGUGAGUGGAACUGCGAGUGUAGAGGUGAAAUUCGUAGAUAUUCGCAAGAACACCAGUGGCGAAGGCGGCUCACUGGCCCGGUACUGACGCUGAGGUGCGAAAGCGUGGGUAGCGAACAGG
rnacentral:rRNA from 1 species